AGUCCCUUCUGCAGUUUGACACAAGACUCAUUUCCAGACUGCAUAUUUGUAAAUGUUGUUCCCUUGUGGUUAAAUAUAAAUCUCUGGGUUGGUUUUGUUGUUUUACUAUGAAAUGUGAAGUACACCAGUCUCCAACUCUUGUCUGAGCCACAAAGGAGCGUCAUCAAAGCAUUAUUUCAGGUUCCCUGAGUACGUUCUUCCGGAGCUUGAAUUGUGUUCCAUCAAUAUUUCUACUGCUCUUGAUCAAGACAAGGAAACCACCUCAAAAUACAACUGGAAGGCACUUUAAGAAAUUGUUCUCUCAUGUUUUCUUUCAAGACAUAAAUCUUGACAAAAAAUGAUCAACGAAUGGCAACAAUAGCAAUGAAGCCAACACGGCUACCACGGGCUCUUCACCUUGUUCCUAUCUACAGGAUUUAAUCCAUUGACACACAUUGGAAGAAAAAGAAAUUUCCGCAUCAACUCGAGGUCUAUGGCUGCCUUGAGAAGAGAUCUGAGAACCUGACACAUCACUUAAGAUGGGCUUUUCAUGAAUGGGCAAUGUACGAUGCAGUUCUGGUCUUAUCCCAACAUGUGUAACAUCUGGAAGAACUGCCACUUGUCAAGUCAACCAAGGCCCUGCUGACAGACAAAAAGAGCUCUCUAGUUACCUGAAGAAAGAGUAGGAGUGAUUUGGAAUAGGAUGCUCUUCCUAAAAUGGAAUGAAUUGCUAUGGCCUUGGAGUGGGGUGGCAGAGGCUUGAUAUAAGCUGGUUCUUCAUCUCUCAUUUCUGGACAGUGCUAAUUUUGAUAUGGAAAUGAUAACAAAUACUUUUGUAGCCAUGAUCUGAAUCUUACCACACACAUUCUUAUUCUUGUGUUAAUUAUUCCAGUAAUCAAAGUCCUCGGUCUAAAUUCAAUAACAUUUUUUUCAUCUUAUCCAACUUUGAGUGUAUGCUCAGAAUUUCUUAGGAGGAUUCAUAUUGUCAGGAUCCUUAAGCAUUACUAUCAAAAACCUUCUGAUCAACAAGAUUACACAUCUCCAGGAAAGAAAAGGUCUGAAGAGGCCGGCACCAACCUUGCUGCCACUUCUUCAUGGCCAGUCCUUCUGGGCCUGCCCUGUUCUGGCAUGACUCUUUCACAAGAAGAGAGACUACAAGUAUUUCUGCUGAUGCAUUCACCAAAAAACUUCUGGCUCCUCUGCUAACAGUACACAGCAGAAGCCAGCAUAAACUUUGAAGUGAAUUUAGGUCAGUGUACUUCUUGUUAUUUUAAACUUUCUCUUCUUUGUUUUAUAGAUUCAGUCAAGGAAAUUAAAUAUUAAAAAAGCAUGUUAGUGCAACAUUAGCUGAGCCUGUAAAAGGGCCAAAUUGCUGAAAGAAAAGUUACUAAAAUGUUGGCCACACUGCACAAGUAUAUGAAUGUAUAAAGUAAUCACACUACAGAAUAAUAGAAAAUGUCACACAUUUCUGAGGCAUCAUAGUUGUAGAGAAUCAGUGUUUUUCAUUUCUGUAAUUUUCCUUCUAGAUCCUUAAUCCUUAUUUUGCAUAUGUGGCAUUUUUUGUUUGAACAUUUAGCACAUACUCUGAAUAUUCUCACACUCAUACGAACAACAACAAAAAAAAAAAAACACAGAAGAUUUUUGAUGUAGAUCUUAAAUGCCAAGCAAUUUUUAACCAGGAAAAAAUGAGUUACAGGUAACACAGAUUUUAAAUACUUUGAAAAUAGGUAGGAAAAGGAGAGCUGCUCAAGUUUAGAAAUAUUUCCACAAUAAAAGUUGCUCC
rnacentral:lncRNA from 7 species